UACGGAGGGUGCAAGCGUUACCCGGAAUCACUGGGCGUAAAGGGCGUGUAGGCGGCGCACCAAGUCCGACUUUAAAGACCGACGCUCAACGUCGGGCCUGGGUUGGAGACUGGUGUGCUAGACGGAUGGAGAGGUCGCUGGAAUUCCUGGUGUAGCGGUGGAAUGCGUAGAUACCAGGAGGAACACCCAUGGCGAAGGCAGGCGACUGGACAUUUGGUGACGCUGAGGCGCGAAAGUGUGGGGAGCAAACCGG
rnacentral:rRNA from 1 species